rnacentral:rRNA from 1 species
UACGGAGGGUGCAAGCGUUAUCCGGAUUUACUGGGGUUAAAGGGUGCGUAGGUGGGCAGUUAAGUCAGUGGUGAAAUCUCCGAGCUUAACUCGGAAACUGCCAUUGAUACUAUCUGUCUUGAAUAUCCUGGAGGUGAGCGGAAUAUGUCAUGUAGCGGUGAAAUGCUUAGAUAUGACAUAGAACACCAAUUGCGAAGGCAGCUCACUACGGGAUUAUUGACACUGAGGCACGAAAGCGUGGGGAUCAAACAGG